rnacentral:rRNA from 1 species
AGGAAAGUAAAAAAGGGCGCAUGGCGGAUGCCUUGGCUCUCGGAGGCGAUGAAGGACGUGAUAAGCUGCGAUAAGCUUUGGGGAGGUGCAAAUGACCUUUGAUCCAGAGAUUUCCGAAUGGGACAACCCAAUAUCUUGAAGAGGUAUUAUCCAACGUUGUUGGAGGCUAACGCAGGGAACUGAAACAUCUUAGUACCUGCAGGAAAAGAAAAUAAACAAUGAUUCCCCCAGUAGUGGCGAGCGAACGGGGAACAGCCCAAACCAUCCAUGUUACGGCAUGGGUGGGGUUGUAGGACUACGCCGUUGCAUGAAGACAUCAGAGAAGAACUUUCUGGAAAGAAAGACCAUAGAGCAUGACAGUUGCGUAUUCGAAUGUUGUCGAAGCAUAGUAGUAUCCUGAGUAGCGCGGAGCACGAGGAAUUCUGCGUGAAUCUGCCGGGACCAUCCGGUAAGGCUAAAUACUCCCGAGAGACCGAUAGCGAACCAGUACCGUGAGGGAAAGGUGAAAAGCACUUCGAACAGAAGAGUGAAAUAGUUCCUGAAACCGUGCGCCUACAAGCGGUCGGAGCUCGUUAAUGAGUGACGGCGUGCCUUUUGCAUAAUGAACCUACGAGUUGCCUUUGCCGGCAAGGUUAAGUGUGACGACACACGUAUCCGAAGCGAAAGCGAGUCUGAAGAGGGCGUAUAGUCGGCAGUGGCAGACGCGAAACCAAGUGAUCUACCCUUGGCCAGGUUGAAGGCUGGGUAACACCAGCUGGAGGACCGCACCAAUAAGCGUUGAAAAGCUUCUGGAUGAGCUGAGGGUAGGGGUGAAAGGCUAAUCAAACUUGGAGAUAGCUCGUACUCCCCGAAAUGCAUUUAGGUGCAGCCUUGCGGGUUACUGAUGUGAGGUAGAGCGACUGAUAAGAUGCGAGGGCUUCACCGCCUAUCAAGUCUUGACAAACUCCGAAUGCGCAUCAGUUCUACCGCAGGAGUGAGGGCAUGGGUGCUAAGGUCCGUGCCCGAGAGGAGAAGAAUCCGGACCACCUGCUAAGGUCCCGAAAUGACAGCUAAGUUAAACUAACGAAGUCUGACUGCUAAGACAGCUAGGAUGUUGGCUUGGAAGCAGCCAUUCAUUUAAAGAGUGCGUAACAGCUCACUAGUCGAGGAGUCGGGCGUGGAUAAUAAUCGGGUAUCAAGUUGUCUACCGAAGCAGUGGGAUCAUUUAUAUGAUCGGUAGGGGAGCAUUCCAGUCAGCGUCGAAGGCGUACCGUGAGGUAUUCUGGAGCGUCUGGAAAAGCAAAUGUAGGUAUAAGUAACGAUAAAGGGGGCGGGAAACCCCCUCGCCGAAAGACUAAGGUUUCCUGAUCAACGCUAAUCGGAUCAGGGUCAGUCGGGUCCUAAGGCUCAGCCGAACGGCGAUGCCGAUGGCAGAAACGGUUAAUAUUCCGUUACUACCUUCAGGAGUGACGUGGAGACGCAGUAGUGACAGUGCCGCCAUCUGACGGAAUAGAUGGUUGAAGGGUGUAGGAGUCGAUCAUGGCAGGCAAAUCCACCAUGAGAUCCGAACCUGACAGUAUGCCGCGUCCUUCGGGACAAGGCAAUAGUGCGCGUAAGCAUGCUGCCGAGAAAAUCCGCUAAACUUAAUCCUGUAGGUACCCGUACCGCAAACGGACACACGUAGUCGGGAUGAAUAUUCUAAGGCGCUUGAGUGAUUCACGGUUAAGGAACUAGGCAAACUGACCCUGUAACUUCGGGAUAAAGGGUCCCUACCCUUUUAUGGGAGGGCGCAGAGAAUCGGUCCAGGCAACUGUUUAACAAAAACACAGGGCUGUGCCAAAUCGAAAGAUCCAGUAUACAGCCUGACACCUGCCCGGUGCUGGAAGGUUAAGAGGAGAUGUCAUCGAUAAGAGAAGCGUUGAAUUGAAGCCCCAGUAAACGGCGGCCGUAACUAUAACGGUCCUAAGGUAGCGAAAUUCCUUGUCGGGUAAGUUCCGACCUGCACGAAUGGUGUAAUGAUCUGGACGCUGUCUCAACCGUGAGCUCAGUGAAAUUGUAGUAUCGGUGAAGAUGCCGAUUACCCGCGAUGGGACGAAAAGACCCCGUGAACCUUUACUAUAGCUUAUCAUUGAAUCUGGGCACGUGAUGUGUAGGAUAGGUCGGAGGCUUUGAAGCAGGUACGCCAGUAUUUGUGGAGCCGCUGUUGAAAUACGACCCUUUAUUUGUUUGGAUUCUAACCCGUGGUACGGGGACAUUGAUUGGUGGGUAGUUUGACUGGGGUGGUCGCCUCCAAAAGCGUA